CUUGCUUUAGGGAAGAAGUCUGAAGUAGAUGAUGGGCUGGACUCAAUAGAACUUUUUGUGUACAUCUCUUGGCUACAAUGUUGGUGAGCCUCUUCUAUAUCUCACGACCUCCUCCUUCGUGUCCACUUGACGUCAUCCUUUGGUAAUGACUUUGGAUUCAGCAGCUUGGUUCUCUAACGUGACUGCUGCAGUGCUAAGAGCCAUCUUAAAGAUUUGCUCUUCUUCUCAGCCUUUUUUGCUUCAGGAGCAUCACUUUCAAAUGCAAACGAUUUAAGGUUCAAAACCAUGUACUGGAGAUUAAAUACAAAGCAAUUAUGACAUCAAACCUCGGCCGUCCAAGUUCUUCUAAGCUGACAGGCUCGACACGAUGCACUAUUCCAGGACCAUAAGCUACUGGUCUCGCCCUAAUCAUCCAAAGAUUCCACUUUUUGCUCCUGCAGAAGUAACAAACUCGAUAAAUGAAUCAGAUCUUAGAAACACUCAGUUGCUCAUUUCAUUUGGCAACAUAAUGUAUUUCAAAUCCAGUUACAUAUAAUCAAACAUCAACAGAGAUUCAGACAUCUAAGAUGGAAACUGAAAUUCAAAUAGGAAGAGACGCAGGGACAUCUGCAAAAACUGCAACACAAAGAACACAAUACAAAUCAGCAUAAAUCAAACGAUG
rnacentral:lncRNA from 1 species